AUGGGCUUCUUGUCGCUGCUCGCGGUGGCUUCCAUGCCGAUCGUCCAGGUCCUGCUCGUCGGCGUCAUCGGAGCCUUCCUCGCAUCAGGGUACAGCAACGUUCUCACCGCCAGCGCCCACAGGGACAUGAACAAGGUUGUUUUCACUGUCUUCACCCCUGCUCUUAUGUUCGCUAGCCUCGCCAAGACCGUCACCCUCUCCGACGUCAUCUCUUGGUGGUUCAUGCCGGUGAACAUAGCAAUCACAUUCCUAGUGGGUAGCGCCCUUUCUUGGAUAGCGUGCAAGAUCCUGAAACCACCGCCGCAUUUCCAAGACUUGAUCACCGCCUUCUGCUCAACAGGAAAUCUCGGCAACCUGCUGUUGAUCAUCGUCCCGGCUGUCUGCGAUGAAGAUGGCAACCCGUUCGGGAACGAUCGGAGCCAGUGCCGCUCGCGAGGGCUACCCUACUCUUCGCUGUCCAUGGCUCUUGGUGGCCUGUUCAUAUGGACGUACACCUACAGCCUGAUGCACAAGUCAGGGACGCUGUACCACAAGAUGCAGUCCAAGUGCGUCCAGCGCCCGGCUGACAGCGAUGAGGAACAUCUCGAGGGAUUCAAUGCCGGCGACGAGGAACGCAAUGAGAUGAACCAAAUUGAAGCUCCACUAUUAUCGGGCAAGAGCGACAUCGCCGACAACAAAGGAUUCUGCACGAACCUGGCGGAGGCCUUGCACCAGCUCGUCCAGGAGCUCAUGACGCCGCCGACAAUAUCCGCGAUAAUUGGAUUCGUCGUUGGGCUAGUGCCAUGGCUCAAGUCGCUGAUCAUCGGCGACGGCGCCCCUCUCAGAGUCAUCCAGGAUUCCCUCGAUUUGAUGGGCAAUGGCACUAUUCCCUGCAUCACCCUCAUUCUGGGAGGAAACCUGAUACAAGGGCUGCGGAAGUCGGUGCUGAAGCGCGCGGUGAUCGUGGCGAUCGUUUGCAUCCGCUACGUGGCAAUGCCAAUGAUGGGGAUCGCCGUCGUCCGCGCGGCGCACGGGGUUGGGUUCCUUCCCCAUGACCCUCUCUACCGGUACGUGCUGAUGUUGCAGUUCGCACUGCCGCCCGCUAUGAACAUCGGUACCAUGGCACAGCUGUUCGACGUGGCGCAGGAGGAAUGCUCAGUGAUCUACAUGUGGACGUACCUCGUCGCCACCGUGGCGCUCACCACCUGGUCCACCGUCUUCAUGUCCAUUCUCUCCUGA
rnacentral:rRNA from 1 species